CGAACGCUGGCGGCGUGGUUAGACAUGCAAGUCGAACGAGAAGCUCCCUUCGGGUGAGUGGAGAGUGGCGCACGGGUGAGUAACACGUGAGCAACCUGCCGGGAAGCCCGGGAUAGCCCUCCAAAGGAGGAUUAAUACCGGAUGUGGCCACCCUGCGAUUGCAGGUGAAGCUAAAGGAUUUAUUCACUUCCCGAGGGGCUCGCGGUCCAUCAGCUUGUUGGUGAGGGUAACGGCCCACCAAGGCGACAACGGGUAGCUGGUCUGAGAGGAUGGUCAGCCACACUGGAACUGAGACACGGUCCAGACACCUACGGGUGGCAGCAGUCGAGAAUCAUUCGCAAUGGGGGAAACCCUGACGAUGCGACGCCGCGUGGAGGAUGAAGGCCUUAGGGUUGUAAACUCCUGUCAAGAGGGAAUAAGCAAGUGAAGGUACCUCUAGAGGAAGGGGCGGCUAAUUCCGUGCCAGCAGCCGCGGUAACACGGAAGCCCCGAGCGUUGUUCGGAUUCAUUGGGCGUAAAGGGUGCGUAGGCGGCGCGGAAAGUCCGGCGUGAAAGGCAGAGGCUCAACCUCUGGACUGCGUUGGAUACUUCCGUGCUUGAGGACUGGAGGGGAGACUGGAAUUCACGGUGUAGCAGUGAAAUGCGUAGAUAUCGUGAGGAAGACCGGUGGCGAAGGCGAGUCUCUGGACAGAUCCUGACGCUGAGGCACGAAGGCUGGGGGAGCGAACAGGAUUAGAUACCCUGGUAGUCCCAGCAGUAAACGAUGUGAGCUUGAUGUGGGGGGAUUCGACCCCUUCCGUGUCGAAGCUAACGCGAUAAG
rnacentral:rRNA from 1 species